rnacentral:rRNA from 1 species
AAUGUCUGGGAAUCUGCCUGGUAGUGGGGGAUAACGUUCGGAAACGGACGCUAAUACCGCAUACGUCCUACGGGAGAAAGCAGGGGACCUUCGGGCCUUGCGCUAUCAGAUGAGCCUAGGUCGGAUUAGCUAGUUGGUGAGGUAAUGGCUCACCAAGGCGACGAUCCGUAACUGGUCUGAGAGGAUGAUCAGCCACACUGGAACUGAGACACGGUCCAGACUCCUACGGGAGGCAGCAGUGGGGAAUAUUGGACAAUGGGCGAAAGCCUGAUCCAGCCAUGCCGCGUGUGUGAAGAAGGUCUUCGGAUUGUAAAGCACUUUAAGUUGGGAGGAAGGGUUGUAGAUUAAUACUCUGCAAUUUUGACGUUACCGACAGAAUAAGCACCGGCUAACUCUGUGCCAGCAGCCGCGGUAAUACAGAGGGUGCAAGCGUUAAUCGGAAUUACUGGGCGUAAAGCGCGCGUAGGUGGUUUGUUAAGUUGGAUGUGAAAUCCCCGGGCUCAACCUGGGAACUGCAUUCAAAACUGACUGACUAGAGUAUGGUAGAGGGUGGUGGAAUUUCCUGUGUAGCGGUGAAAUGCGUAGAUAUAGGAAGG